GACGAACGCUGGCGGCGUGCUUAACACAUGCAAGUCGAACGGAAAGGCCCUGCUUUUGUGGGGUGCUCGAGUGGCGAACGGGUGAGUAGCACGUGAGUAACCUGCCCUUGACUUUGGGAUAACUUCAGGAAACUGGGGCUAAUACCGGAUAGGAGCUCCUGCUGCAUGGUGGGGGUUGGAAAGUUUCGGCGGUUGGGGAUGGACUCGCGGCUUAUCAGCUUGUUGGUGGGGUAGUGGCUUACCAAGGCUUUGACGGGUAGCCGGCCUGAGAGGGUGACCGGCCACAUUGGGACUGAGAUACGGCCCAGACUCCUACGGGAGGCAGCAGUGGGGAAUAUUGCACAAUGGGCGGAAGCCUGAUGCAGCAACGCCGCGUGCGGGAUGACGGCCUUCGGGUUGUAAACCGCUUUCGCCUGUGACGAAGCGUGAGUGACGGUAAUGGGUAAAGAAGCACCGACUAACUACGUG
rnacentral:rRNA from 1 species